AACGAACGCUGGCGGCAGGCCUAACACAUGCAAGUCGAGCGAACCCUUCGGGGUUAGCGGCGGACGGGUUAGUAACGCGUGGGAAUAUACCCUUUGGUACGGAAUAGCCUCGGGAAACUGAGAGUAAUACCGGUAUGUGCCCUUACGGGGGAAAGAUUUAUCGCCAAAGGAUUAGCCCGCGUUGGAUUAGGUAGUUGGUGGGGUAAUGGCCUACCAAGCCUACGAUCCAUAGCUGGUUUGAGAGGAUGAUCAGCAACACUGGGACUGAGACACGGCCCAGACUCCUACGGGAGGCAGCAGUGGGGAAUCUUAGACAAUGGGCGCAAGCCUGAUCUAGCCAUGCCGCGUGGACGAUGAAGGCCUUAGGGUUGUAAAGUCCUUUCAGAUGGGAAGAUAAUGACGGUACCAUCAGAAGAAGCCCCGGCUAACUCCGUGCCAGCAGCCGCGGUAAAGUAUCGU
rnacentral:rRNA from 1 species